GACGAACGCUGGCGGCGUGCUUAACACAUGCCAGUCGAACGGAAAGGCCUCUUUCGGGGGGUACUCGAGUGGCGAACGGGUGUGUAACACGUGAGUAACCUGCCCUUGACUUUGGGAUAACUUCAGGAAACUGGGGCUAAUACCGGAUAGGAGCUCCUGCUGCAUGGUGGGGGUUGGAAAGUUUCGGCGGUUGGGGAUGGACUCGCGGCUUAUCAGCUUGUUGGUGGGGUAGUGGCUUACCAAGGCUUUGACGGGUAGCCGGCCUGAGAGGGUGACCGGCCACAUUGGGACUGAGAUACGGCCCAGACUCCUACGGGAGGCAGCAGUGGGGAAUAUUGCACAAUGGGUGGAAGCCUGAUGCAGCAACGCCGUGUGCGGGAUGACGGCCUUCGGGUUGUAAACCGCUUUCGCUCAUGACGAAGCUUUGUGUGACGGUAGUGGGUAGAGAAGCACCGGCUAACUACGUG
rnacentral:rRNA from 1 species